rnacentral:rRNA from 1 species
UACAGAGGUCCCAAGCGUUGUUCGGAUUCAUUGGGCGUAAAGGGUGCGUAGGCGGCGCGGUAAGUCGGGUGUGAAAUCUCGGAGCUUAACUCCGAAACUGCAUUCGAUACUGCCGUGCUUGAGGACUGGAGAGGAGACUGGAAUUUACGGUGUAGCGGUGAAAUGCGUAGAUAUCAGGAGGAACACCGAUGGCGAAGGCAGCUCGCUGGGACGGUACUGACGCUGAGGCGCGAAAGCGUGGGGAGCAAACAGG